GUGUGCGCAUCGAUCGGUUCUGUUUUAAUAUUGAUGCUGUGAUCUAUCGAUUUUUUAGUUUGUAGUGCGAAUAUGUGUUGUGGUGUUUUGUUGUGUUUUAGUUUUUAAAUUGGAGGUUACACAUAAAUGGAUAAAAAUUAUGAAGACACACACAGAGCUUGUGACAUCAUUAAGUUGAAAGAUAAAUUAAAAUAGAUCUUAAUAAAAUGGGUUGAAGAAUUCUUAGUAAGAAGAUGGACAAGAAGAAGACAAAACGAAGAGACUGGAAAGGUUUGAACGAUACUAAAAAUAAGAACAAAGUAGAGAAAAAUGAGAAUCUAUCGUUAUAGCCUUUAUGGUCUAUGGUUAUAUAUAGAAGGAUCAACGAGACGAUAUUAUAAUCGCAACGCAGGCAAUUUCACACAUAUGUAUACGCAUCAGAAACCUCUUCAAAAUGCCAGGUUAUUGCUCAUAGUGCAAUUUGGUCAUAGUGCAAAGAAACCCCGAAUAGAAUCACAACGAUAUCAAAAAAGGAGGCCAGUAUCGGCUACGUGGAAGAGAAACCAUCGAGAAUUAAAAGGCUUUUAAUGACAGCUCAGGUUAUGGACCACGCCAUGCAACAAGGAACAAUGCUACAUCGAGAUUUGAAUAUCAAACCCAUCAAGUCAUUAACUGUCAAUAGAUAAUGAUGUAUUUUGAGAUAAAGCAUAAAAUCUAUUGAGGGAAUUUGUCAUUUUUUUUAAAAGUUGUUUAUACGUCAUUUUCGCUCUAAACA